CAGCCAUCUCGGUCUUUUUCGUGGAACCGUCGAAACUCUCCGUACACUAGCGCCUCGAAUUCCAUUUUGCUUAUCGAAACUUCUUGCACAUUUUCGUAUCAUUUCCAUCCAAUCGUACAACUGUACUGUGGACAGCAUUUCUGGAAUGUACAAUGAGUAUUCUUACCAAAGGAAAAUUUUGUACUAAAACCAUACGACAUUGGUAUUAUUCGGGAGUUUGUACUGAAGAUGACUCAAAUAGAUUAUGCAAGAUGAAGAGAAGUAAACAGAUAUUAAUUUGUGUUUACAUAUGCAAUGUAUGCGUGCAUGUAAUGUAAAUAUAAAAGAUGAUUUGGAAGGAAACCGCAAUAUUUGGAGAAUAUGUGCAGAAUAGGACAAAAAGUUCUAUAAAUAUAGGUCCGAUUCUCAAUCUUUAUGGAAAUAAUAGAUGUUAAAAAUUAAUAAAAUAGAACAUUUUUAGAAACUUACUAAAUGUAAUGCAUAGUAAUGAAAAAAUUGUUUAUUUGCUAAUGAUAUAGACCGAUAGUCAGUUUUUUAAUUUUAAAAUCAUUUUAAGUAAUGUCUUAAGACGCUAAUACGAUUCUGUGAUAAGUUUAUAAGAUUUUAAGUAUGAAUUUCAAACAAUCUUGAAUACAAAAUGAAUUUCAAACAAUCUUGAAUACAAAAAUCGAUUAUAUAAUCAAUAAAAUAAAUACCAAUAUAAUAUCAG